rnacentral:rRNA from 1 species
UAGCAAUACUAUCCAGUGGCAGACGGGUGAGUAACGCGUAGGAAUCUACCUCUGGGUAAGGCAUAGCCGGUCGAAAGGCCGGGUAAUUCCUUAUAGUUCCCGCAAGGGUAGAGGACUUAACGGUCCGCCGGGAGAGGAGCCUGCGUCCUAUCAGCUAGUUGGUGAGGUAAAAGCUCACCAAGGCGAUGACGGGUAGCUGGACUGAGAGGUCGAUCAGCCACAACUGCACUGAGACACGGGCAGUACACCUACGGGUGGCAGCAACCAGGAAUAUUGCGCAAUGGACGAAAGUCUGACGCAGCGACGCCGCGUGGAGGACGAAGGCCUUAGGGUCGUAAACUCCUUUUGCCAAGCCGUUCACAGCUUGGAGAAUAAGCCCCUACUAACUACGUGCCAGAAGUCUCGGUAAUACGUAGGGGGCAAGCGUUAUCCGGAUUUACUGGGCGUAAAGUGUGCGUAGGCGCCCCAUUAAGUCGUACUUUAAAGACUAAGGCUUACCCUUAGAAGUGAGUACGAUACUGUUGGGGUUGAGGAUUGAUAGGGCAGCUGGAACAGUACGUGUAGCAGUGAAAUGCGUUGAUAUGUACUGGAACACCAAGGGCGAAGGCAGGCUGCUGGGUUUUUCCUGACGCUGAGGCACGAAAGCUAGGGUAGCGAAACAGAUUAGAUACCUGUGUAGUCCUAGCCGUAAACGAUGUCCGCUAACUCUUCGUUUCACGGAGCAGAGAAAAUUUUUCUGUUGCGUGAAGCGAGGGGUUCAAGCUAACGCGUUAAGCGGACCGCCUGGGGAGUACGACCGCA